CAGUCGCCGCGGUAAUACGUAGGUGGCAAGCGUUGUCCGGAAUUAUUGGGCGUAAAGGGCUCGCAGGCGGUUUCUUAAGUCUGAUGUGAAAGCCCCCGGCUCAACCGGGGAGGGUCAUUGGAAACUGGGAAACUUGAGUGCAGAAGAGGAGAGUGGAACUCCACGCGUAGCGGUGAAAUGCGUAGAGAUGUGGAGGAACACCAGUGGCGAAGGCGACUCUCUGGUCUGUAACUGACGCUGAGGAGCGAAAGCGUGGGGAGCGAACAGGAUUAGAUACCCGGGUAGUCCCUGUCUCUUAUAC
rnacentral:rRNA from 1 species